AAUUUUUUGGUCUGCUGAGUUGGUCGGGCACAGGCCCACCCAGGCCCACCCUUAGAUACGCCCCUGAGUGUACUGUUGACUGAAUGAGGUUUUCAAAAUUCAAAUGUGGCAAAGCCUGAGCCUAGGCAUAUAGUUUGCUCCAUAAUUUCUCUUUUAAAUGUUUAUUAUGAUGUAUUCAGGUGGAAGGGAGCGUCGAGCGGGGAUGAGAUCUCGAGAUGUAGACGGCAAUGCCACACCCACGAAGACACCAAUAAUGAUGCUAUCAUUGAUAAAUGAUCCUAUUACUGAAUUGUAUGAUCUUGAAACUGGCCCUCAACUUCUCGUAGAGACUAAAAAUGAAUAACGAAUACAGUUGCGUGUGUACUUCAAGUGGUCUCCUGAUGGUAGUGGUACUUGUAUAUUGACUUACAAUAAUGACAAUAUACUGAGAUUGUAUAAUCUUCCAAAUGAGCUCUACAGCUCUUCAUUCCCUGAUCACAUUCAACUAGAAACGGAUCCUGUUGGUUAUGCUAGAGAAGGCGAAAUUAUAUACGAUUAUGCCUGGUUCCCUAGAAUGUCAUCCUAUGAUUAUGCCAUGCCAUUUGCUGCAACAAGCACAUACACAAAGGAUGAAUGUGAUGAAAAUGA
rnacentral:lncRNA from 1 species